UAAACUGGAGGAAGGUGGGGAUGACGUCAAGU
rnacentral:rRNA from 1 species